CGGGACGUAGCGCAGCUCGGUAGCGCGCCUGCUUUGGGAGCAGGAUAUCGCAGGUUCAAAUCCUGUCGUCCCGACCA
rnacentral:tRNA from 1 species